rnacentral:rRNA from 1 species
UACGAAGGGGGCUAGCGUUGCUCGGAAUCACUGGGCGGAAAGGGUGCGUAGGCGGGUGUUUAAGUCAGGGGGGAAAUCCUGGAGCUCAACUCCAGAACUGCCUUUGAUACUGAAGAUCUUGAGUUCGGGAGAGGUGAGUGGAACUGCGAGUGUAGAGGUGAAAUUCGUAGAUAUUCGCAAGAACACCAGUGGCGAAGGCGGCUCACUGGCCCGAUACUGACGCUGAGGCACGAAAGCGUGGGGAGCAAACAGG